GAUGAACGCUGGCGGCGUGCUUAACACAUGCAAGUCGAACGGUGAAGGCGGAGCUUGCUCUGCUGGAUCAGUGGCGAACGGGUGAGUAUCACGUGAGCAAUCUGCCCCUGACUCUGGGAUAAGCGCUGGAAACGGCGCCUAAUACUGGAUACGAGCUGCGAAGGCAUCUUCAGCAGCUGUAAAGCACUUCGUUCAGGGAUGAGCUCGCGGCCUAUCAGCUUGUUGGUGAGGUAGCGGCUCACCAAGGCGUCGACGGGUAGCCGGCCUGGGAGGGUGACCGGCCACACAGGGACUGGGACGCGGCCCAGAGGCAUACGGGGGGAAAGAGUGGAGAAUAUUGCACAAUAGGCGAAAGCGUGAUGCAGGAACGCCGGGUGGGGGACGACGGCCGUCGGGUAGUAAACCUAUUAUAGCAGGAAAGAAGCGAAAGUGAGGGUACCAGAAGAAAAAGCGCGGGCAACUUACGU
rnacentral:rRNA from 1 species